rnacentral:rRNA from 1 species
UAGGGAAUCUUCCACAAUGGAAGCAAGUCUGAUGGAGCAACGCCGCGUGAGUGAAGAAGGUUUUCGGAUCGUAAAGCUCUGUUGUUGGUGAAGAAGGAUAGAGGCAGUAACUGGUCUUUAUUUGACGGUAAUCAACCAGAAAGUCACGGCUAACUACGUGCCAGCAGCCGCGGUAAUACGUAGGUGGCAAGCGUUGUCCGGAUUUAUUGGGCGUAAAGCGAGCGCAGGCGGAAUGAUAAGUCUGAUGUGAAAGCCCACGGCUCAACCGUGGAACUGCAUCGGAAACUGUCAUUCUUGAGUGCAGAAGAGGAGAGUGGAAUUCCAUGUGUAGCGGUGGAAUGCGUAGAUAUAUGGAAGAACACCAGUGGCGAAGGCGGCUCUCUGGUCUGCAACUGACGCUGAGGCUCGAAAGCAUGGGUAGCGAACAGG